UUCUGGCUGCCUUCAGAUGAAGAUGUAGAACUCUCAGCUCCUCCUGCACCAUGCCUGCCUGGAUGCUGCGAUCCUUCUGUCUUAAAUGAUAGUGGACUGAACCUCUGAACCUAAAAUGUUUGCUGAAAUUUUUUUCCUGAGACCUCAAAGAAAGUGAAGGUGACAUGAAAGGUGAAAUGAUGUGGAAGAUGGUAAAGUUGGAUCUUAGGCAAGACCCAGAUGGAGGUCCUGAGUUCAAGUCCCAGCAACCAUCCGUAAUGAGAUCUGAUGCCCUCUUCUGGUGUGUCUGAAGAUGGUGGCUCACAACCAUCCGUAAUGAGAUCUGAUGCCCUCUUCUGGUGUGUCUGAAGACAGCUACAGUGUAUUUACAUAUAAUAAAUAAUUAAAAAAAAAGAAGAAGGCAUGGUUCUGGAGAUGGAGCUGAAGCUUUAGAUCCUGAACUACUGGGAGCAGGCCGAGAAUGAGCUAUCAGAAUGGCUAAGAUCAUGGGACAGCAGGUGAUGACGAGGAUGUGGAGAAAGAGGAACACUCCUCCACUGCUGAUGGGAUUGCAAGUUGGGACAACCACUCUGGAAAUCAAUCUGGCAGUUCCUCAGAAAACUAGGCAUGAUACUACUGGAGGACCCUGCUAUACCACUCCUGGGCAUAUACCCAGAGGAUUCCCCAGCAUGUAAUAAGGACACAUGCUCCACUAUGUUCAUAGCAGCCCUUUUUAUGAUAUCCAGAUGCUGGAAAGAACCCAGAUGUCCCUCAAUGGAGGAAUGGAUACAGAAAAUGUGGUACAUUUACACAAUGGAAUACUACUCAGCUAUUAAAAACAAUGAAUUCAUGAACUUCUUAGGCAAAUGGGUGGAAUUGGAAUAUAUCAUCCUAAGUGAGGUAACACAAUCACAAAAGAACACACAUGGUGUGAUUUUUGCCAGCUGAAGACAGUUUCCAUUUGGAAUUCUGGGGACUCUUGAGAGGGUAUAAAAUGCCAGCGCCCAGACAGAGAAAGGAGGUGUCCGUGUUCCCUGCUGCUGCUGGUGCUGUUAUAGUUUGUCAAGUGAUCAUGAGCAAAGAAACAAGAAGUGGAAUAAGAGGGAGAGGAGGAGGAGAGCAUUGGAGAUAUCUUGAUGAUGAAGAUUGGACUUGCCCCAAGGAACUCAAUUCCCUGAAUCAGUAGAAAGUAAUCUAAUGAGGUCUAAUAAGAUCAAUGCCCACUUUCCCCUCUAACCCUCUUUCUCUUCUACCUAGUGUUGGGGAUUGGAAGGGAUUGGGGAGAAGAGAGGUAGGAAAAAAGAACCCAAUAAAGUACCUAAAAAUCA